rnacentral:rRNA from 1 species
AAGUCGUAACAAGGUUUCCGUAGGUGAACCUGCGGAAGGAUCAUUAUAGAAAAUGACGUGAGCUCUUAACGGAGUUCUCUCAAAGUGUUGGAGGGGAAGGCCUGCGCUUAAUUGCGCGGCUGUUUUUAAUCUCCUCCGCCUUUGAUACACACAUUGGAGUUUCUACUUUUUUGUUCUCUUUGGGAGGGUUCUACUCUCCCAGAGGUAAACACAAACAAUCUUUUAUUAUACUAUUAACACAGUCAAAUGAAUUUUAAAACAAAAUAUUCAAAACUUUCAACAACGGAUCUCUUGGUUCUCGCAUCGAUGAAGAACGCAGCGAACUGCGAUACGUAAUGUGAAUUGCAGAAUUCCGUGAAUCAUCGAAUCUUUGAACGCACAUUGCGCCCCUUGGUAUUCCGGGGGGCAUGCCUGUUUGAGCGUCAUUUCCCUCUCAAACUUUACGUUUGGUAGUGAGCGAUACUCUGUAGUUUUUCUACUGGAGUUUGCUUGAAAAUGGGAGGCCAUAGGCGAAGCAUUGCUUUCUAAUCCUGCGGCCCCUCUGCUUACUUCCCCUUGUGGGUUGUGGUAGGGGGAAAGCGGGAGGCGCCUUGCCACGAUAGUCGUAUUAGGUUUUACCGACUCGGCGAAAGUGAAGAGGUUUGCUUUCUAAAAGGAGCAGGCAGCGUCUGGCUUGACAAAAUUCUCAAAGUUUGACCUCAAAUCAGGUAGGAUUACCCGCUGAACUUAA